rnacentral:rRNA from 1 species
UACGUAGGUGGCAAGCGAUACUCGGAAUCACUAGGCGUAAAGCGCAGGUAGGCGGUUCGGUAAGUCUUUUGUGAAAGCUCCUGGCUCAACUGGGAGAGGUCAAAGGAAACUACCGGACUAGAGUUUGGUAAGGGAUACUGGAAUUCCUGGUGUAGCGGUGAAAUGCGUAGAUAUCAGGAGGAAUACCUAUGGCGAAAGCAGGUAUCUGGGCCACAACUGACGCUGAGCUGCGAAAGCUAGGGGAGCAAACAGG